GUCGGAGUUCUUCCUCCACCACAUAUGGUCCUUCCCAAUUUGCGGCUAGUUUGCCUUUAGAGCAGUCUUUUCUACCGACACUCGCUCUUCUCCAUACUAGGCUUCCUUUUCUUAUCGCUUUACCCUUGACAUUCUUGUCGUGAUAUCUAGCGAUACUUUGUUUGUAAGCUGCAUUCUUUGCCUGUGCAUUAUCCCUAAGCUCAUCCACUAAGUCCAGAGUUAUCGCACAUGAUCUCAUGUUUUCUUCCAUGUCAUAGGAUAACACUCUGACUGUUGGGAUGCUUAGCUCUGUUGGGAUUAGUGCUUCCAUUCCAUAUGCUAGUGAGAACGGGGUUUCUCCGGUGGGUGUCUUUUCAGUGGUUCUAUACGCCCACAGGAUCUCUGGUAGUAGAUCUGCCCACGAACCUUUGGCCUGUUCGACUUUUUUCUUCAGUCUCUGAACGAUGGCUCUGUUUGUGACUUCUACUUGCC
rnacentral:lncRNA from 1 species